rnacentral:pre_miRNA from 7 species
CUUCCAGGUUCCUGGGUGUCACGCACAUCUCAGUGGGACCUCCAAAUGAAAGAACCUAGUGAGGAAACCCCCACUCAUAUCCUGAGUCGGCAUGCACCCAAAGAAUCAUGAGAGACU